rnacentral:rRNA from 1 species
UGGGGGAAUAUUGCACAAUGGGCGCAAGCCUGAUGCAGCGACGCCGCGUGCGGGAUGGAGGCCUUCGGUGUAACCGCUUUGUUCAAGGGCAAGGCAGGCUUUCGGGCCUGUUGAGUGGAUUGUUCGAAUAAGCACCGGCUAACUACGUGCC